rnacentral:rRNA from 1 species
CCUUACCUGGCCUUGACAUGCCGAGAAAUUUCUAGAGAAGGAAUGGUGCCUUGGGGAAAUCAGAAACAGGUGAUGCAUGGCGGUUGUCAGCUCGUGUCUUGAGAUGUUGGGUUAAGUCCCGUAACGAGCGCAACCCUUGUCCUUAGUUACCAGCACAUUAAGGUGGGCACUCUAAGGAGACUGCCGGUGACAAACCGGAGGAAGGUGGGGAUGACGUCAAGUCAUCAUGGCCCUUACGGCCAGGGCUACACACGUGAUACAAUGGUCGGUACAAAGGGUUGCCAAGCCGCGAGGUGGAGCUAAUCCCAUAAAACCGAUCGUAGUCCGGAUCGCAGUCUGCAACUCGACUGCGUGAAGUCGGAAUCGCUAGUAAUCGCGAAUCAG